CGCCUUUUGGAUGACCAGUUCUGGGAACUUGGUGCCGUCUCCACGGGACUUGACGUCCAAUGCAAAGAGGCCGUGGUCAUCGCGUGUGAGCAGAUCUCCUUGUCGUUAGCGAACACCUCUAGGGACAGCUGGCACUUGGCAUUGUGGCGGCACAAGGACUCACGGUCGAUGCGCUGCUUGGUGUAGAGGAGCCCGCUGUCAGCGUCCACGUCCAGCAGCAUCCGCACCCGGCUAGAAGCUGCCGUGCAGCGAAGCUGCAGUGACUCCGAGGAAGGCGGCGGCUCC